GUUUUUGUGGUUGCACGUCUCAAAUGAGUUAAAUUUGAAUCCAGCACCAUUCCUUUCGUACAUUGAGUACAUGUGUGUUUUGAGAGCAAGAAACGCCUUCAUUAAAUAUUCACUGCGACUUGGAAUUUUACUGACAUGCCUCUAGGGCUUGGAACACUUGCUCAACAGCCCUGGCAAGUCUUGAGGUGGGUGUGUUAUUUGUGACUUUGAACUGGGACAGUAAGGU